rnacentral:rRNA from 1 species
CAGUCGCCACGGGAAUACGUAGGGCGCAAGCGUUAAUCGGAAUUACUGGGCGUAAAGCGUGCGCAGGCGGUUCUAUAAGACAGAUGUGAAAUCCCCGGGCUCAACCUGGGAACUGCAUUUGUGACUGUAGAGCUGGAGUACGGCAGAGGGGGAUGGAAUUCCGCGUGUAGCAGUGAAAUGCGUAGAUAUGCGGAGGAACACCGAUGGCGAAGGCAAUCCCCUGGGCCUGUACUGACGCUCAUGCACGAAAGCGUGGGGAGCAAAUGGGAUUAGAUACCCCUGUAGUCCCUGUCUCUUAUAC